rnacentral:lncRNA from 10 species
AAAAAUCAAGGACUUUUACAGUAAAGAAGAAGGGGAGAAUGCAUACUACUGGCUAAGAACUGCUCUUACUAUCCUGCUUGGGAUGUUAUGAGGGUAUAACAUCUGAGCUGUGGCAGCCAUCUUGUGACUAUGAGGUAAUAGACACAGCAAAGCAAAGCUGAAGAUGAUGGAACAGAAACACAAACAGGAUCUGGUGCCUGUAAACAAUGAACCAUUGAAUGAACCCUUGAACCUCCUAUCUCCACUAUUAUUAAGCUAAAAGGUAGCUUCAUCAUCUUGUCCCUGCUGACGACCUGGAUCAAACAGUAGAUUUGGGUCUAAAGUGUUCAAAUCAUUGAUGCUGCCUGAGAGCUCAGAAGACAACCUGAUAUCGCUA